rnacentral:lncRNA from 1 species
AGUUUUGUGCAGCUUCGGAAGCCAGUACAUAGUUGGAACUUUCAUUGUAUUUGGUCCUGCUUGUAAAGAGGUAGCUAAAAGUUUAUGUUUGUUACAUAUGUCAUUUUCCGAAAAUGGAGUCAGUUAGAAUGUUGGUGAAUUCGUGAUUUCCUUUUGUAGAACUUCAAUGUAAAAUUUUCUUCAAACAAUAAUGAUAUUGUUAACACCCGGG